ensembl:miRNA MIR125A microRNA 125a
UGCCAGUCUCUAGGUCCCUGAGACCCUUUAACCUGUGAGGACAUCCAGGGUCACAGGUGAGGUUCUUGGGAGCCUGGUGUCUGGCC